rfam:Angiostrongylus costaricensis strain Costa Rica genome assembly, scaffold: ACOC_scaffold0001404
CCAACGGCCCUCUUUAGGGCCACAAUUGCAAUGAAAUAUGUGGACU